rnacentral:rRNA from 1 species
GAUGAACGCUGGCGGCGUGCCUAAUACAUGCAAGUCGAGCGAACAGACGAGGAGCUUGCUCCUCUGACGUUAGCGGCGGACGGGUGAGUAACACGUGGAUAACCUACCUAUAAGACUGGGAUAACUUCGGGAAACCGGAGCUAAUACCGGAUAAUAUAUUGAACCGCAUGGUUCAAUAGUGAAAGACGGUUUUGCUGUCACUUAUAGAUGGAUCCGCGCCGCAUUAGCUAGUUGGUAAGGUAACGGCUUACCAAGGCAACGAUGCGUAGCCGACCUGAGAGGGGGAUCGGCCACACGGGAACUGAGACACGGUCCAGACUCCUACGGGAGGCAGCAGUAGGGAAUCUUCCGCAAUGGGCGAAAGCUUGACGGAGCAGCGCCGCGUGAGUGAUGAAGGUCUUCGGAUCGUAAAACUCUGUUAUUAGGGAAGAACAAAUGUGUAAGUAACUAUGCACGUCUUGACGGUACCUAAUCAGAAAGCCACGGCUAACUACGUG